rnacentral:rRNA from 1 species
UACGUAGGUGACAAGCGUUAUCCGGAUUUACUGGGCGUAAAGCGCACGCAGGCGGUCGAGUAAGUCUGAUGUGAAAUCUUCCGGCUUAACUGGAAAAAGUCGUUGGAUACUGCUCGGCUUGAGGCGAUGAGAGGAGUGCAGAAUUCCUGGUGUAGUGGUGGAAUGCGUAGAGAUCAGGAGGAAUAUCUGUGGCGAAAGCGGCACUCUGGCAUUUGCCUGACGCUCAUGUGCGAAAGCGUGGGGAGCGAACGGG